AACGAACGCUGGCGGCAUGCCUAACACAUGCAAGUCGAACGAGACCUUCGGGUCUAGUGGCGCACGGGUGCGUAACGCGUGGGAACCUGCCCUUAGGUUCGGAAUAACUCCCCGAAAGGGGUGCUAAUACCGGAUAAUGUCUUCGGACCAAAGAUUUAUCGCCUUUGGAUGGGCCCGCGUUGGAUUAGCUAGUUGGUAGGGUAAAAGCCUACCAAGGCGACGAUCCAUAGCUGGUCUGAGAGGAUGAUCAGCCACACUGGGACUGAGACACGGCCCAGACUCCUACGGGAGGAAGCAGUGGGGAAUAUUGGACAAUGGGCGAAAGCCUGAUCCAGCAAUGCCGCGUGAGUGAUGAAGGCCUUAGGGUUGUAAAGCUCUUUUACCCGGGAUGAUAAUGACAGUACCGGGAGAGUAAGCUCCGGCUAACUCCGUG
rnacentral:rRNA from 1 species